ensembl:lncRNA
CGGGGUGCCCGGGGCUCGGCUCAUCAAUUUCCCGUGCUCGGUGCCCGCGGUCCGGCGCGGCGCUAAUGCGGAACAAAUUGAGACACAUCCCCUCCCAUUUACGGUCUCAAUUUUAAAACAUCGUUUGGAGGUCGGCGAUGGAAGCAGCGGUAACCUUUAACGCCGCGGGGAAUGGGAACGCGGCAGCGCGAGUUGCCGCCGGAGGACAUCGGGACCCACCCUUCCAGCGGCAGGUAACCGCUCCGCGCGGCGCUUUUAUCACUGCAGCUUCGGGGGAGCGAUUCUCACCGGGGCCGCGGCGCGGGGGUGCGACCACACGCGGCCCCGCGGAGCUGUCACACGCGUGCUCUGGGGGGCUAAGCCUUCCCCCCGCCCGGUCGACAGCGGUGAGUACUUCGGGAGGAGGGGGGCAGGAUCCCGCGCUUGGUGAGCGUCUAUCGGGGGAGGCUGCGGGCUCCUAUCUGCGCCGGGUGCCGGGGUGCGCCUGGCCGCGGCAGGCACGGCCGCGUCC